GUUGCCAGCACGUUAUGGUCGGGCACUCUAAGGAGACUGCCGGUGGACAAACCGGAGGAAGGUGGGGAUGACGUCAAGUCAUCAUGGCCCUUACGGCCUGGGCUACACACGUGCUACAAUGGUCGGUACAAAGGGUUGCCAAGCCGCGAGGUGGAGCUAAUCCCAUAAAACCGAUCGUAGUCCGGAUCGCAGUCUGCAACUCGACUGCGUGAAGUCGGAAUCGCUAGUAAUCGUGAAUCAGAAUGUCACGGUGAAUACGUUCCCGGGCCUU
rnacentral:rRNA from 1 species